AGCGUAUCCCUCAGAUUUAUUUUUUUUUCUUUUCCUUCCGUAUCCCUCUGUCUCGCACGAGACACCCGAGUCUCUUCUCUUCUCUUCCCUUCAGUUUUUCAUUUCUUCUUCUAUUUUGACCUAACGGCUGUGCUGUGCCUGUGGCUGCUCAAAUCUUCAAUCCAGAGCUGCACCUCUGCUGCGGCUGUGCCUGUGGCUGCUGCGAUUUCACGAUCUCCCGCCCAGGCCUAGAGCUGCACCUCUACUGCGGCUGUGCCUGUGGCUGCUGCGAUUUCACGAUCUCCCGCCCAGGCCUAGAGCUGCACCUCUGCUGCGGCUGUGCCUGUGGCUGCUGCGAUUUCACGAUCUCCCGCCCAGGCCUAGGUACACACAACACAAACCCGAUCAAGAGCCGCCACAACCACCUCCAUUGCCGAAGUUGUUUUGCAUUUCUGCUGCUGUGAGCUUUGAAAGUAUCGGAAAUUUUGCUUAAAUGGAGAAAUGGGGAGUAAAACAUCAACUACAAAUUUGAAUAAGACUCUCCCUUCUUAGUGUGAUUAAGAUAUGUUGGAAGGUUGCUUUGUGAAGGCUUUUGGAAGAAUGGAUGCAUCAUAUUUUUUGCAAGGAUAUUAUCUCUAUGUGUAUUUUUGUGAUGGGUUGUAAUCUUUAAUGUCAUAAGUUUAAUUUGGUUUGUGUAUUAUUUUUUGUAAUGGUUUGUAUAUUAUUUUUUGUAAUGGUUUGUAAGAGAUUAUAUUUCCUUUCUUGGUUGGUUGGUUGGUUGAAUGUGUGUAUGAGAUUUAUUUAGUUUAGAAACUUAGAUUGGAAUGAUGGAUUUUUAGGUUUUGAAAGAGAAGUAAAAAGUGUUUUGGGCUUG